GGGGGUGUAGUCAAGGGGUAUGAUAAGCGAUCCGCAUGAUAUAUGGGGUCCUUCGCCAGGCCCCGGUUCGAGUCCGGGUACCUCCA